rnacentral:tRNA from 1 species
ACUAUUUUGACAGAAAAAUGUGGUAAAUUUAGAAUUUAUUUAUGUAAUUUUUAUUACAAAUAGUA